rnacentral:SRP_RNA from 1 species
GGUCGGGGGCUAUGCGACUUAUAGCCGACUAACUCCGCCAGGACUGGAAGGUAGCAACGGUCGUCAGGUUUAAAGUGUGCUGUAGCUAUCCUGGCCUUU